UCCACGGAGCCGACGGCGUCCGUUUCGGACGGCUCGUGUUGUGGGAAAUUACACAAGUUCAACAUAAGAAAAGCAACUGGGAACGAGAUUACAGGAAGUGACGUCAUUUCUCAGCGUGAGGCAAGGCGGGUCGUUUUUUUGAAUACAUGCCGUAAGUUUUUUGUCUUUAUUUGAAAUAAUUUAGCGUUUUUAUUGAAAAUAACUGCUUAAUAUCGAUAGAUUAGUCGUUCCUCUACCUGCUGCAACCGUUUUUCUUUCUUUAUACACGAUUAAACUAUAGUUAACACGAUUUUGCUGCAUGUCGUCCCCAGCGACGGAUUAUUAUGCUUUUGUCAUUUUUCCUAGUCUAGUCCUCAUAUCACGGAACACACUGACGCCAAAUAUCAAUUGAUUAGUGCAUUCUGCGUCUAAAUACAUCUACUUCUCUUCAUAUAUCCGCUGUUUUAUUACAGGAUUCCCCCUUACUUCACGUUUGCUGAAGGAGCACAGAAUCCACGGCUACAUGCGCACACUAAGCAAUGCUAUAUUGUCCCUAAAUACGUUACCAAGACCAUUUCAGAAAUUGAACUCAUUUAAUUUGACUAAUGCACUACCUCACGCGACACACCUCCUGGCCCAAGCAUUUCUUCGCAUUUCAAUGUAAAGCUCACAAGAGUGUUUUUUAAUCCAGCCUUAAUAUAACUCUACUAAAGUAGUAGGCAUUAUGGUAUAUUCCAGAAAUCAGUUUCACCUCCUUUCCCCAAUUUUUUUCAUCACUCCACUCUCACACUUAACGGCAUGACACAUCUCCCAUCCACUUACCGAUGAUUCUUUCCAAUCUAAAUCAAAUUUUACUCCCCCACUGAGUCUAAAUAUAUUUAUGUUGUCUGUAACUAGAAAGCAUGCCCUGCCCUAGAAAUGAAUUUCAUGUCAUUUGUUCAAUUCUUUAUUUCCAGAAAUUACAUGGUUUGUCCUACAUUCCAUCCAAGCCGUCAGCAGAAAUUAUUGCAUGUUUUAAAAAUAUUUCUUCACUGCUCAGACUAAACAUAUAUAGAGCCUACAACUAGAAAUCAAGCUGUGCUCUAGAAAUGCAUUUAAUGCCAUUUGGUAAAUUUCUUAUGUGCAGAAAUGACACGUUUGAUCCUGCACUCCACCUCCCAAGCUGUCAUCGGAAUGUUUUGCGGCGUGUCAUCUCUCCGAACCACCUGCCGAUGUUUCUUUCCAAUGUUCAAAAUAUUUUUACCUCACACACAUUAAAGCUUUCCCCCAUACUAUAACGCCGGAUCCUUCUAAGAAAUCCCUGCAAAUAGCUCCGUUCUCCUUCAACUUCACAUAGGUGUAGAAAGAGCACUUUCAUGUACCUUCUUCCAAGCUGCAUCCUAGCCGGCUAGCCAAGGAACUAGGACAACAGAACCAUGUAACCAGCAAUUCCUGCAUCUCUUGUGUAUUCAUAUGGCAAUUUUAUUUCUAAUUCUAACCAAGAUAAACAGAUGUUUUCACAUUGUA